UACGUAGGGGGCAAGCGUUGUCCGGAAUCAUUGGGCGUAAAGCGCGCGUAGGCGGCCCGGUAAGUCCGCUGUAAAAGUCCAGGGCUCAACCCUGGAAAGCCGGUGGAUACUGUCGGGCUAGAGUCCGGAAGAGGCGAGUGGAAUUCCUGGUGUAGCGGUGGAAUGCGCAGAUAUCAGGAGGAACACCGGUGGCGAAGGCAGGUCUCUGGGCCACUACUGACGCUGAGAAGCGAAAGCAUGGGGAGCGAACAGG
rnacentral:rRNA from 1 species